CUUGGAGAAGCUUGCUGCAGCUGGUUUUCCUGAUGUGCACUCAGCUGUUCCCAUAAUCAGAGGAGCUCAGUCUUCGCCGUCACCGGGAAUGGCUGCUGGUCUUUGCCUUGAGCGUGUCUAGCUCCAGUGCAGACCCCUCAGCCUGGUGGCAUGGACCCUUCACCCUGCUGGAGCAGGCUUUCUAUUUUGUACCACUGGCCUUUCGGCCUUCCUGAUGCAGAUCCUUGAUACAGACUUGCAGGAGACAUUGCCGUGGGCUCUAGGGUUGUGGCUGGAUUCAUGGAGGACAUUGCUGUGGGAUCGCGGCCUCAGACAGAUCUCUUGCACUCCUCUGCAUUUGAUUUUUUUGGGAGAAUCGAAUGCCCCCACUUACAGCAGGCAGAGCUCAGGCAGAAAGGCAAGCAUGGGAGCAGCUGUAAAUACAGACUGUCUUCAACUACAGCAGAGAAGCCCUGUUGGAGACAGAGAAGGUGGGAUUUAUUUAUGGUGCUGAGGAUUGAACCUAGGCCCUUUGCACUGAGCAAUGUCCCUAGCCCUUUUUAAUUUUUUUUUUGAGAUAAGGUCUUGCAAAAUUGCUAUUUUCCAGGCUGGGCUUGAACUUGUGACCUUCCCACUCAGCCUCCAGAGUGCGGGGAUCACAGACAUGCACCACCACACUCAGCCAGGUGGGUCAGUUAAAAAAAGGGUAGUCUGAGAGCUCCAAGUAGCCCUUCAUUCAUCUAGUUAACUAACAUUUAGAGCACCUACUAUGUCUAGGUACCAUGCCCUACCGGAAGGCUGAAAUGAAUAGAACAUGGGCUUUCUCUUGAAGAACUCUAUAGUCAAAGAAACCUCAAACUAAAUUCCACCAGACAUAACAGAUUUGAGCUGGGAGUGGUUAUACAACCCUGUAAUCCCAGUACUCAGGAGGCUGAGGCAGGAGAACUGCUGUGAGUUUGAAGCCAGCCUGGGCUACAUAGUGAGUUCAAGGCCAGCCUGAACUACAUAA
rnacentral:lncRNA from 1 species